GAUGAACGCUAGCUACAGGCUUAACACAUGCAAGUCGAGGGGAAACGACAUCGAAAGCUUGCUUUUGAUGGGCGUCGACCGGCGCACGGGUGAGUAACGCGUAUCCAACCUGCCCAUCACUUGGGAAUAACCUUGCGAAAGUAAGACUAAUACCCAAUGAUAUCCCACGAAGGCAUCGGAAUGGGAUUAAAGAUUUAUCGGUGAUGGAUGGGGAUGCGUCUGAUUAGCUUGUUGGCGGGGUAACGGCCCACCAAGGCAACGAUCAGUUGGGGUUCUGAGAGGAAGGUCCCCCACAUUGGAACUGAGACACGGUCCAAACUCCUACGGGAGGCAGCAGUGAGGAAUAUUGGUCAAUGGGCGAGAGCCUGAACCAGCCAAGUAGCGUGCAGGAAGACGGCCCUAUGGGUUGUAAACUGCUUUUAGAAGGGAAUAAAGUGGGUCACGUGUGACUUUUUGCAUGUACCUUAUGAAUAAGGACCGGCUAAUUCCGUG
rnacentral:rRNA from 1 species